CCACCUCCCGAGUGAGGACUCGACUUGGCGCAGGGCCGAAGCAGAGACAGGGUCUUGCUCUGUCACCCAGGCUGGAGUGCAGUGGUAUGAUCACCACAGCAUUGACAUCCCGGCCUCAGGCGAUCCUCCCACUUCAGCCUCCCAGUAGUUGGGACUACAGGCAUGCGCCGCCACACCUGUUGGGAGCCGAAAAGGCCAAAGGGAUCAUGACCAACUCAGCGUUCCGCUGGAGACUAUAUUAUCAAACUGCAAACUGUUUAUCAUGAAUGCAGGAUGUGGGCACACUCACACUGCCCUGCCACCAAAAGGUUUGCUGAGGGCCUCACUCCCUGGCACCGGGCUCCUUGAAGUUAUCUAUUGAGAAAUCUAGCACCUAUUGUUCGAAGAAUGCAGUCUUGCAAGCCUGCUGUCAAUCAAACUGCUGACCGACAACCCCCCACCGCUCUUGCUAUCUCUUUUGCCUAAUAAAUACGGAGGGCUGUGUAGGAGGACUGUGUAAAGCUCAGGGUCCUUGUCCACUAGAGGCAAGUGCCCCCUGACCCCUUCUUCCAAAUAUACUCUCUUGUCUUUGUCUUUUA
ensembl:lncRNA novel transcript, antisense to ZNF836